CCUACGGGUGGCAGCAGUGGGGAAUAUUGGACAAUGGGCGAAAGCCUGAUCCAGCCAUGCCGCGUGUGUGAAGAAGGCCUUCGGGUUGUAAAGCACUUUCAGUGGGGAAGAAAGCCUUGGGGCUAAUACCCUCGAGGAAGGACAUCACCCACAGAAGAAGCACCGGCUAACUCCGUGCCAGCAGCCGCGGUAAUACGGAGGGUGCGAGCGUUAAUCGGAAUUACUGGGCGUAAAGCGCGCGUAGGCGGUCUGAUAAGCCGGUUGUGAAAGCCCCGGGCUCAACCUGGGAACGGCAUCCGGAACUGUCAGGCUAGAGUGCAGGAGAGGAAGGUAGAAUUCCCGGUAUAGCGGUGAAAUGCGUAGAGAUCGGGAGGAAUACCAGUGGCGAAGGCGGCCUUCUGGACUGACACUGACGCUGAGGUGCGAAAGCGUGGGUAGCAAACAGGAUUAGAUACCCUCGUAGUC
rnacentral:rRNA from 1 species